rnacentral:lncRNA from 10 species
AAUCUCAGUUUGAAGUUAGGAAUUGAAUCCAAGAGGAAGAGAAGCAUCCUUCCUUCAGUGCCUUUGUGGUGGUGCUUGGUGAGAGAUAGUGGUGAAGGCAUUGCCUAAAGAGAGAGGCACUAACAGGCAGAGGAGUGGUUGAGACCAGUAAGAACUGCCCUGCCUGGUGGAGCAGAGGCAGAAGCUGAUGCCCAGGCUCUGCAGCAUCUAUAGGGAACUUGGUGCCUGCAGUGCUCAUCAAAUGAUCCAGAGGCCUCCUUGAACACUGCAAAACCCAGAAGAAAUUACCAUGCCAACGGAGCAGAACCAGAUCCUUUGGGGAAACACAGCGCUGGUGGAAGAACUAUAGCUCCAGUAAGCAAAUGUGGUGCCUGGUGGGUGGUUGCUGAAUCAGUGUGUGUUUGUGAGCAUAUGUGAGACACCCACUGAAGAUGCCUAAAAACACCUCUAGAAACUGACAUUUUAAAA